GACGAACGCUGGCGGCGUGCUUAACACAUGCAAGUCGAACGGAAAGGCCCUGCUUUUGUGGGGUGCUCGAGUGGCGAACGGGUGAGUAACACGUGAGUAACCUGCCCUUGACUUUGGGAUAACUUCAGGAAACUGGGGCUAAUACCGGAUAGGAGCUCCUGCUGCAUGGUGGGGGUUGGAAAGUUUCGGCGGUUGGGGAUGGACUCGCGGCUUAUCAGCUUGUUGGUGGGGUAGUGGCUUACGAAGGCUUUGACGGGUAGCCGGCCUGAGAGGGUGGCCGGCCACAUUGGGACUGGGAUACGGCACAGACUCCUCCGGGAGGCAGCAGUGGGGAAUAUUGCACAAUGGGCGGAAGCCUGAUGCAGCAACGCCGCGUGCGGGAUGACGGCCUUCGGGUUGUAAACCGCUUUCGCCUGUGACGAAGCGUGAGUGACGGUAAUGGGUAAAGAAGCACCGGCUAACUACGUG
rnacentral:rRNA from 1 species